UGAGGGCACUGGAGCGGGCACGUGACUAACGUGGCGUUAGGCUGCGAGUGACCCUCUGAGGAGGCGUCAGGAGGACGACCAUCCGCGCCGGGAAACCCGCGUCGGCUGUAGGCGACUGAACCCACAGCAAGUGAAUUGUGGUGCCACUCUGGAUGCCCCUGUCCCCCUGUGACUCCUCAGUGACCUUCGCCCCCCCCCCCCCCCCCCCGUGUGGCCAGAGAGCUGUCCAGGUCAUCAGCCUCCUAAGAGCGGGGUGAUGGGUACAGCUGGUGCCGUCCUAAAAGACAUUUUGAGGGAUCCUUCCCCUCCCAUCCCAGGCCCUGUGGUCCUGGCCUGUACGUCCGUAUUGCAUCUCAGAUGCUCUGGGUUUUUAGCUACAACUCCUCUUCAGUUAAUUCUCACCCUUGCGUUUGCCCCUCCGUCCUGGUGUGCCGCACCUUCCAAAGUGACCACUAGUUUAUCUGCGGGACCAUCGAGCCCAGAAGUGGGCAAGAGGAUCUCCCCUCAGGAGACUGGCUCUGUGGCUUGACAGUAAUAGCUCAGGCUUUGUCUGUUCCUCACCACCACCUUCAAGAGAAGGUACCAGUGCUGCCCAUUUUACAGACAGCAAAGUUGAGGCAUAAGGAAGUUAGUUAACAUGCCUAAGGCUGGACUAGGUCUCACUGUCCUCCCUCAACUAUGGGGAACCAAGCCAGAGGACGGAGCUGCCAGAACUUGGGAUCGUGCAAGGCCUCGGCACAGAGGAAGAAAUGAGAGGCGGCGUAUGGGCCCUGCGUAUAGGAUGUCGGAAGAGGAAGGCCCGAGCGUUUAGAAGCACCAGGCCCACGGGAGUCUUGGGGACUAGCAGCCUUGGGAAGGUUCUGGAAAGCAGCCUACAGCUCUGAAUAGCUCUUGGGAGCAUAAAGGAAGUCUGGCUGGGAGCCUUUACCUUCACAGCCCCAGGCGGCUAGGCUGGCCCCACCUUGCUGAUGGAACAUUCUAGUUCAUUCUUCCCAAAUUUGUCUUUCAUAAGAAUCAUGCCAGGCACUAUUAACUAUGCAGAUUCCCAGACCCCACCCCAGAAGUACUGAUUCGAUCUCUUUAAUGGAUGCUCUGAGUGAUCUCUGUGAUGAGCCAAGUUUGGGGAAACACUCUUUUCUUUGUUCAAGGAGUCUCAGGAAUAAUGGGCUUGUCCAUCUCUCCAGGUGCUUUUGUUGGCUGUCUCAGAAGAGAGGACAGGCUCUUUCCUCCUCCUCCUCAUCUUCUUCGGAGGUCUUGGACACAUAGACCGUUGGCCAGGGCCAGGUCAUAGCUUAAUGUAGGGAUUCAUCUAGAAUAAACUUCUGUAUGUUUUCUACCUCUUUGGGAGUCAGUCUUCCCCUUGUUGUCUUAGUAAGAAGUAAUUUUACUUAUUAAAAUUAAAAAAAAAU